UACGUAGGGCGCAAGCGUUGUCCGGAAUUUAUUGGGCGUAAAGAGCUCGUAGGCGGUUUGUCGCGUCUGCUGUGAAAACCUAAGGCUCAACCUUGGGCUUGCAGUGGGUACGGGCAGACUAGAGUGCGGUAGGGGUGACUGGAAUUCCUGGUGUAGCGGUGAAAUGCGCAGAUAUCAGGAGGAACACCGGUGGCGAAGGCGGGGUCUCUGGGGCCG
rnacentral:rRNA from 1 species